GUUCCCGCGAGGGCGCGUCCGGAGGAAGCUGGAGCGCAAAACUAUGAGCCGACGAACAGAAAUGGCAUACAAGGCCGAGUCUCCGGGCAAGUCAGCACAACAUGACAAAACCCUGGGUUUAGGAGAUACGGUAAAUGCUACGGUUGCAUAGCGACAGAUUACGUU
rfam:Desulfobulbaceae bacterium BRH_c16a BRHa_1007187, whole genome shotgun sequence.